UACGGAGGGAGCUAGCGUUGUCCGGAAUCAUUGGGCGUAAAGAGCGUGUAGGCGGCCCGGUAAGUCCGCUGUGAAAGUCGGGGGGCUCAACCCUCGAAUGCCGGUGGAUACUGUCGGGCUAGAGUGCGGAAGAGGAGUGUGGAAUUCCUGGUGUAGCGGUGAAAUGCGCAGAUAUCAGGAAGAACACCUAUGGCGAAGGCAGCACUCUGGGACGGUACUGACGCUGAGACGCGAAAGCGUGGGGAGCGAACAGG
rnacentral:rRNA from 1 species